AAUAUUUCACAAUGGGCGAAAGCCUGAUGCAGCCACGCCGCGUGAGUGAUGAAGGCCUUCGGGUCGUAAAGCUCUUUGUUUGGGGAUGAUAAUGACAGUACCUGAAAAACAAGUCACGGCUACCUACGUGCCAGCAGCCGCGGUAAUACGUAGGUGGCGAGCGUUGUCCGGAAUUACUGGGGGUAAAGGAUGCGUAGGUGGAUACUUAAGUGGGAUGUGAAAUACCCGGGCUCAACCCGGGAACUGCAUUCCAAACUGGAUAUCUAGAGUGCAGGAGAGGAAAGCGGAAGUCCUAGUGUAGCGGUGAAAUGCGUAGAUAUUAGGAGGAACACCAGUGGCGAAGGCGGCUUUCUGGACUGUAACUGACACUGAGGCAUGAAAGCGUGGGUAGCAAACAGG
rnacentral:rRNA from 1 species